rnacentral:rRNA from 1 species
CCUACGGGAGGCAGCAGUGGGGAAUAUUGGACAAUGGGCGAAAGCCUGAUCCAGCCAUGCCGCGUGUGUGAAGAAGGCCUUCGGGUCGUAAAGCACUUUAAGUUGGGAGGAAGGGCUCAUAGCGAAUACCUGUGAGUUUUGACGUUACCAACAGAAUAAGCACCGGCUAACUUCGUGCCAGCAGCCGCGGUAAU